rnacentral:misc_RNA from 1 species
AACGCACAUUGCGCCCCUUGGUAUUCCGAGGGGCAUGCCUGUUCGAGCGUCAUUAUAACCACUCAAGCUUUAGCUUGGUAUUGGGGUUCGCGGUCUCGCGGCCCUUAAAACUAGUGGCGGUGCCAUCUGGCUCUAAGCGUAGUAAUUCUCUCGCUACAGGGUCCAGGUGGUUACUUGCCAAAACCCCCCAUUUCAAUGGUUGACCUCGGAUCAGGUAGGGAUACCCGCUGAACUUAA